CGGGACGUAGCGCAGCUUGGUAGCGCACUACUUUGGGGUAGUAGGGGUCGGAGGUUCAAAUCCUCUCGUUCCGA
rnacentral:tRNA from 4 species